UAGGGAAUCUUCCACAAUGGACGCAAGUCUGAUGGAGCAACGCCGCGUGAGUGAAGAAGGUUUUCGGAUCGUAAAGCUCUGUUGUUGGUGAAGAAGGAUAGAGGCAGUAACCGGUCUUUAUUUGACGGUAAUCAACCAGAAAGUCACGGCUAACUACGUGCCAGCAGCCGCGGUAAUACGUAGGUGGCAAGCGUUGUCCGGAUUUAUUGGGCGUAAAGCGAGCGCAGGCGGAAUGAUAAGUCUGAUGUGAAAGCCCACGGCUCAACCGUGGAACUGCAUCGGAAACUGUCAUUCUUGAGUGCAGAAGAGGAGAGUGGAACUCCAUGUGUAGCGGUGGAAUGCGUAGAUAUAUGGAAGAACACCAGUGGCGAAGGCGGCUCUCUGGUCUGCAACUGACGCUGAGGCUCGAAAGCAUGGGUAGCGAACAGGAUUAGAUACCCUGGUAGUCCAUGCCGUAAACGAUG
rnacentral:rRNA from 1 species